rnacentral:rRNA from 1 species
UACGAAGGGGGCUAGCGUUGUUCGGAAUUACUGGGCGUAAAGGGCGCGUAGGCGGUGUGUCAAGUCAGGCGUGAAAGCCCCGGGCUCAACCUGGGAACAGCGCUUGAGACUGGCACGCUCGAGUUCGGGAGAGGAUGGUGGAAUUCCCAGUGUAGAGGUGAAAUUCGUAGAUAUUGGGAAGAACACCGAUGGCGAAGGCGGCCAUCUGGACGGUAACUGACGCUGAGACGCGAAAGCGUGGGUAGCAAACAGG